rnacentral:misc_RNA from 1 species
AUAUAUCAAACUACCAAGCUUGCUUUGGUGGUUUUGGAUGGUGAGGGAUGCUGGAUGUGAAUGAUCAGCUACCUUUAAAUAUAUUAGCUUGGAAUGUAUAAGCCAUUUAAGCUUGAGCUGAUAUGAAUACUAUGUAUUAAUUGCUUUUGCUGAGAUGCUUAUUCAAGCUUACAAAAUGUCUUGAAAGAGACUGUCUUUGGACAUGUACAAUCUUGA